rnacentral:rRNA from 1 species
AUUGAACGCUGGCGGCAGGCCUAACACAUGCAAGUCGAGCGAGCGGCGGACGGGUGUGUAAUGUCUGGGAAACUGCCUGCUGGAGGGGGAUAACUCCUGGAAACGGUAGCUAAUACCGCAUACCCUCAGAUGUGCCCAGAUGGGAUUAGCUGGUAGGUGGGGUAACGGCUCACCAAGGCGACGAUCCCUGGCUGGGCUGAGAGGAGGACCAGCCAAACUGGAACUGGGACACGGGCCAGACUCCUACGGGAGGCAGCAGGGGGGAAUAUUGCACAAUGGGCGCAAGCCUGAUGCAGCCAUGCCGCGUGUGUGAAGAAGGCCUUCGGGUUGUAAAGCACUUUCAGCGGGGAGGCGUUACCCGCAGAAGAAGCACCGGCUAACUCCGUGCCAGCAGCCGCGGUAAUUC